CGCGGCCUAUCAGCUUGUUGGUGAGGUAAAGGCUCACCAAGGCAUUGACGGGUAGCUGGUCUGAGAGGACGAUCAGCCACACUGGGACUGAGACACGGCCCAGACUCCUACGGGGGGCAGCAGUGGGGAAUAUUGCGCAAUGGGCGAAAGCCUGACGCAGCAACGCCGCGUGGGGGAUGAAGGCCUUCGGGUCGUAAACCCCUUUCAGCAGGGACGAAAAUGACGGUACCUGCAGAAGAAGCCCCGGCCAACUACGUGCCAGCAGCCGCGGUAACACGUAGGGGGCGAGCGUUGUCUGGAUUUAUUGGGCGCAAAGGGCUCGUAGGCGGUUGCGUAAGUCGGAUGUGAAAACUCAGGGCUCAACCCGGAGACGCCAUCCGAUACUGCGCUGACUAGAGUCCGGUAGGGGAGCAUGGAAUUCCUGGUGUAGCGGUGAAAUGCGCAGAUAUCAGGAGGAACACCAGUGGCGAAGGCGGUGCUCUGGGCCGGUACUGACGCUGAGGAGCGAAAGCGUGGGUAGCGAACAGGAUUAGAUACCCUGGUAGUCCACGCCGUAAACGUUGGGCACUAGGUGUGGGGCCUACUUAACGGGUUCCGUGCCGUAGCUAACGCAUUAAGUGCCCCGCCUGGGGAGUACGG
rnacentral:rRNA from 1 species